GAUGACAGCAUCUGUCUGAUUUAGUAUGGGCUUUGGAAAUAAACAGAUCAGAUUUUGUUAGUAUUUUGAUGGAAGAUAUCCAGGAAAUACCAGGGCUGUAGGCU
rnacentral:rRNA from 1 species